UACGGAGGGUGCGAGCGUUGUCCGGAAUCAUUGGGCGUAAAGGGCGCGUAGGUGGCUUCUUAAGCGUGCGGUGAAAGCCUGGGGCUCAACCCCGGGUCGGCCGUGCGAACUGGGGGGCUGGAGCACUGUAGAGGCAGGCGGAAUUCCGGGUGUAGCGGUGGAAUGCGUAGAGAUCCGGAAGAACACCGGUGGCGAAAGCGGCUCACUGGACCAUAACUGACGCUGAUGCACGAAAGCUAGGGGAGCAAACAGG
rnacentral:rRNA from 1 species